ensembl:lncRNA
UCUCCAAACCACAACUUCUCUUCCGCCUUCGUCUCUUGCUCGUAUGCUGGCAGGGAGGCUUCCUGAAUUAUCGCAGGCAGCGUAGAAAACCAAUCGGGCUUGGAAAGGGCCACUUCUUCUUUCCGUGUUUUGCAGAGAUGAGGCAGCGUUAAGCGUUUCUCCCCGGCACAUGCUGCCCUGGGUCUCUGCGAGUGAUGCCUGCGCCCAUCCUUCACUGCCAGCCCUCUUCAAGCCAAGGUCAAAUGGCUCCAAUCCGGGCCUCUCUGCUGCUGCUGUUUUCGAGCCUGCUCCAGGCCUCUGCUUACAAGCUGCCAGCCAUCCAGCUCAGUGGCCAAGAUGAUAGAGUUCGAGAAAGCUCGGCAGCAGGUGGGCUUCCUGCGGCUGAGGGCUCUCAGCAGGGCCAGUGGGUGUGGGACACAGCAGGGGCUGGGAGCGCUGACUUCCCCAUGUCUAUCCGUGAGAAGAGGGAAGCUGAGGUGAAGUCUUCCAAUCAUUCUGCUGAAGAGACCACUACCACCACCAGCCACCACAACACAUUCUCCAUGACUUCUUCGGAGUAUCCCAUGGACGAAGCCGAGUCCUCUCCAGCUCCUGAACUGGAUGACGACAGUACGUCCCAAGAAAACCAAUAUGAUGGUACUACCGCUACAGCGGAGCCAUUGUCUGCGAACAGCUCUGACAACGUCUCCACGGAAGUGGCCAAAGUUACAGCGGGCAGCCAUCUUGAUACCUCAGCCAAGGCAGCCCCAACUCAGGGCAGCAGCAACGUCUCCUCAGAAGCGGCAGUCACUAGGAUAGAAGAAAUCCUCGUGAGCAGCACAGAGAGUAUGGAACAUGUCUCCUCUGUCAGGUCAAUGGGAGUGAAGGGGCUGGGGGAGAGCUCAGCUACUUCGCCACCUGAAGUCUCGGACGGAGUCCUCUGAUGGAGUCCUGCUUGUGAAGGAGUUGGCCAGUUGGAGGCCUGGCCUCUCCAAGGUGGGAAAGACCCAUUCUCCUCACACAAGGCCCACAGUGGGUGGCUCUGUCGCAGCGCAAGUCCCCUUGCAGGAGCUGCCCGUUCACCCAAAUACCCUGGUGGGGAAGUGUUUGCUGGCCAUCUUCAUCCUAGCUCUUGUGGCUGCCACCUUCAUCAUCUGCACCGCCGUCCUCGCCACCCUACUGUGGCGCCAGAAGCGUGUCUGCCGGGUGCGCCGGCACAACAACACUGAGAUGGUGUGUAUCUCAGCCCUGCUGCCCGACAGCGAGCCGGUGGCCAAUGGGGAGAAGCCCAGCAAGGUAAAGAGGAUGAAGAUGCCCACGGACAACAGCUCGGAGACUGAAGGAGACAACCUGACUGUCAGCAGCUUCUUGCCAGACCAUUAGACACCUCGCCACCUGCCCAGGGGUUCUCCGAUUCUCAUUUCCUGGGCCAUCCAGCCCCCUCCUGGCACUGGAGUGACCCUAUCCAUCCUGACAGCUCUUGGGUGCAGUGUCCUAGGUGGCCAUCUAACUAGGCUUAAGGUUGCCUCCGUCUGUGUUGCGUGAGUACGGGACGUACUAUAUUUAGCCACGACAGGGCCCAGCCCUGAGAGCCGCUGAGCAACCUCAACCCCAAAAGGCACUUGGCAUCUGGCAGGAGAAAGCCUUCAGCGAAGAGCAUUUGCCAGGAGCAGACACUGCUGAGCAUAUGGAAUGGGGGUCCUGGUGACCCUGGUUGGUUUCUCCACCUGGCUUGGGGAUUUUGAAACUGCUGUUCUGCCCUCUUGACCUUGACCUGCCUGCUGCUUUUGAUGCUAUUCGCCAGGGCCAGAUCCUUAGCUGGCGUGAAUCAGACAACUCCUGGGAAGCCGAUGGAGUUACCCCAGCUGAGGAACUGGUCCAGACAGUGUUACAACGGGGAACUCUGCUUUAAUUUAUACUAAUGUACAAGGGGCAUGUUACUAUUUUGCACUUAAAUGGGUGAAGGAAUCUCAAUGUAAUGUUCCUUGUUCAAAUGAAUAACAUAAAAAUCUCUGUGUACCUGUCUGUGGUUAAGUCUCUUCUGUGAACGCCUUCUGGCAUGGCCUGGGCCCUUUAAGACAGUGGCUCUCAACCCAUCUGUACAGGGACCCACCUCCCAUUCAGCAAUCUGGGAAAGUCUGGGUGGUCACACCACUGACACCUCUUCAGGGGUCAUGGCCCUGGGCUCACAUGCCACCACCCGGAGGGGACUGGCAGGGCGGGCUGCUCAGAGACAGCCCUGGGCAACGUCACCCCCCACCCUUCAGAGCCCGUUCCCUCCCCAGUGCUGCGUGACGGGCUGUGGGCACCCCACCGCUGAACUACCGCUGGCGGUAAGCAUAGGUCUCAAACACAGGCACGUACUGUUCCCAGCACCCCGCACUGGGAGGGAAAUGUUGGGUAGUGGUUCUCUGACCCCAUUCCUCUCUUGACUGUCCAAGUCAUGGGGCUUUAGGUUCCAGUCUUUGUAAUGUGUCUCAGCCGCGUGGUCUCCAAACAGCUGGCUUCAUGGUGACACUGGGUGUGCUUUUCUUACAGGAAGGCACAGGCCAGAGGACAGUUACUGUUUGCUGCAUCUUCUCUUGUGAUGAGCCUUUUGCCCUGGGGGCUGUACUGUGCUAUUCACAAUGAAAUUGCAGGCUUGUGGUAAAUGCACUGUGAUGAUUUUUAUGCCCCAUGUACCGAGUUCGCCGCUGUUGAAAUAAAUAUUCCGGGGGGCCUCCUAGCUCCGUCGAG